AACGGAGGAACAGAGAGGUUUGCGCGCGAAAGUUUGGCGUUCUUGGAGUUGCUCUGACGAGGAGAAGGUUGAUAUUAGGGUUCGGAAUUAUCGGUGCCUCACUAUGUUGUUUGCAAACGCAGACUUUGAAUGAGUUGCUGCAGUACAUGUUUGAAGAAGGUCUUGUGUCAGCGUUGCUACCUGAACAGUAUUUUUAGGUGGACUCAUAAGUGACUUUGACUUUACGCUAAUUGGUGUCAACUAAUACAUUUGUACGCAAAAAGCAUGGAAUCGAGGCAAUGCUGUGCCACUGGUUUGUUUCUACCUAUACCUCUUCUCUCUAUAUCCAUUCAAUUCACGUCCUUCCAUUCCUUGCUGAUCUCUGCUCAAUUUUACUCUGCAUAAAAUCAAAACCCAAGGUUAUACAAUGGAAAUGGAACCUAACAAAUGAGGUAACAAUCAAUUAGAUACAUGCCCUUUUUAACUUUUAUAAGUUUAGUUUUUGAACAAUUUAGUCAUUUAAAUUUCAAAAGUUUUUUAUUUUAAUUGUGAUAUGUUUAAGCAUGGUCUAAAAUCGAUAUAUUAAUUAUUUUUAUCUAUUAGAUAUUUUUAAAGUUUAGAGAUCUUAAGCACAAUUGAAAUUUAAAGACUAAUUAGUUACUUUUUAAAAUUUAAGAAGACUUUAGCAUUUUGGAAAGCUUGUAAUUUAAAUUUCAAAUGUCAUUUCCAAAAUCAAAAUAAUUAAAGUUCGCUUUCCACCUUAAACUGUAAAAUUAUACUUUUAUUAUCAAAAUUCUAUGAAUCUCUUAUAUCUCCUAUGUAUAUUAAAAAAAAACAAUAAUUUUAUUUAUUUAUUAUCAUUUUUAAAUAAAAAAACUAUUAUCAAACAUUAGGGGUGUACAUGGGUCGGGUUGGAAUGGGUUAAGAAUUUUAUGGACUAACCCAUAAGAUCAGACUGGUUGGAUUGGUAAUCUAACCAAAUCCAAAAAAUUUCAGAAGGUUGCCCAAAAUUUUUCAGAACCAACUUUCUAUUUUUUAUAAAAAAAAUUAUUUAUCCGCAUAAUUUUCAAACAAAUUUUUAAACUACAAUUAUAACCAUGUACUGUACAUUUAUUGUUAAGUAAAUUGCAACAGAAAUAAUAAUAAACUACAAAUAUAACAAUGUACUGAACAUUUAUUGUUAAGUAAAUUGCAACAGAAAUAUUAAAUAAAUUAGAAUUUUGAAUUAACUCUCUUGGUUUUGGAAAUUUCAAAUAUUUUGCACAAUUUUUUAUAGAACUUAUAUUUAAAAUCAUUUACUUUUCACCUCGCCCAAUAAAACAUGAAAGUAAAAAGAAAUUAAAUAUUAAGUCACUCAAACACAAUAUAAUAUUGUUUCAUAAUCAUUUACUUUUCACCUCGCCCAAUAAAUUGAGUAUUUUUUAUUUUAGAAAAUUAAUCUCCCAACCUAAUUCAAUUCAAUCCAACCCAGGG